UGCCACAGCCAUAUCACCCUGCAGCCCAAGAGUGGUUACUCACUGAAGGUAAGCAGGGCUGAGUCUGGUCAGUAUCUGUAUGGGAGACCACAUAGAAAAACAAGUUUGCUGUUAGAA
ensembl:rRNA 5S_rRNA 5S ribosomal RNA